UGCGACAGUCAUACGUGGGGCGCGAGAGCGGGUGGUGCUCUCUGUCUCUCUCUUUCCCUCUCUGUCUCUGUCUCUCCUUCUUCUCUCAUUCUGUCAACCCCCGGUUUUUGGGAAAAGCCUUAGGAAUUUUACGAAAGUCCGACGAGGGACGAAGGGAGUGACGAUGUUUCGACAUCACAAGAGUGUUUUGCGACAAAGUAACGCACCUACGUGUAUAUCGAAGAGAUUGAUGGAUGAUAUGUAAGAUAGAUCAAAGACACAUUGGACGACGAGUCUAAAUUCUAACUUCUAGACAAUACACAUUAAAAUAUUAUUCGUGCUUAAUAAAUAUGUCUAAACUGCAUGAAAAUCAUAAUAAUUUCUCAAAAGACAUUCCUUGAAUUUAUCGAACGAAUCAUAAUGAAAAAGCCUCCCCCAUCUGUUUAACAACAGUUAGAUCAAAAUUGAUGAUUAUUUUCAUUACUCACCAUUAAAACUGUCGAUCGAUAAUAAUGUUCAUACUUGGGAAUCAGUGUUGCGAUCGAUAAUUGAUUGGAUCGCUCUGCCAAACUGUGUCUUUAGAUAGAUCAAAGACACAUUGGACGAUGAGUCUAAAUUCUAACUUCUAGACAAUACACAUUAAAAUAUUAUUCGUGCUUAAUAAAUAUGUCUAAACUGCAUGAAAAUCAUAAUAAUUGCUCAAAAGACAUUCCUUGAAUUUAUCGAACGAAUCAUAAUGAAAAAGCCUCCCCCAUCUGUUUAACAACAGUCAGAUCAAAAUUGAUGAUUAUUUUCAUUACUCACUAUUAAAACUGUCGAUCGAUAAUAAUGUUCAUACUUGGGAAUCAGUGUUGCGAUCGAUAAUUGAUUGGAUCGCUCUGCCAAACUGUGUCUUUAGAUAGAUCAAAGACACAUUGGACGAUGAGUCUAAAUUCUAACUUCUAGACAAUACACAUUAAAAUAUUAUUCGUGCUUAAUAAAUAUGUCUAAACUGCAUGAAAAUCAUAAUAAUUGCUCAAAAGACAUUCCUUGAAUUUAUCGAAUGAAUCAUAA